rnacentral:lncRNA from 10 species
CACCCCUCUACUCUUAUCUCUUCAACUUCAGGCUUAUCCUGCUGCAACUAAGCAGUAACGCUCCUUCUUUAUGAUUUUGAUAGGGUAGAUAAAUGCUUUUCCAUCUCCAAAGUAGUUAUUAAGAGACUCCCAUGUCCCAAAAAGGUUAUUAAAAAUUAGAAUGUUUCCAUUUUCUACUUUCUGGUCAGUUCUGCACUAUUCAAAAUUCAUCUUUCCUAGUUAACAGGGAUAACAUUCAGCAGUGCAUUCUCAUGAAGCCAGAGCCUUUCCUUCCUUCUCAGGGUGAAACACGGGUUGGCCAACUAUGGCUCAGGGACUAAAUCUAGCCUGUGGCCUGUUUUUGUACGGUUUUAUUGGAACACAAUUAUCCACUUGUUUACGUAGUGUUUAGUACUGCCUUUUCAUCACAACAGCAGAGUUGAGUAACUUCAACAGAGCCCAUAAAGCCAAAAAUACUAUAUGGCCUUGUUCAGAAAAAUUUU